UUGAAGGAGGCGAGGAGCUAGACACUGAGAUUGGGGUAGGAGGUGGAGCAGGCCCAGGUGCUCGGGGAGCAGCUAGUGCAGUGGGGUGGAGGGAAUCAGGAGAGAAGAAGGAGAGGAAGCCAGAGAAGUUUGGGCUUGGGGGAAGGAAGACAGAUCAUGUGGGGCCUUGGAGGCCACCAUAAGGACUUCAGCUUUUGCUCUGGGAAAAAAGGGGAGCCCCUGGCCGGUUUGGGGGCAAGACAAGAUCGGCCAGGAGAACUCAUUCCUGUCCUGGCGCUGCCAGGCACCUACCGUGACACUUGGACAAAUCAGGAACUGGGGCAUGGGUGCCCCGUGAACAAACAAAAUAUCCAUUAGGUUCAAUAUCAUCGAUGUCGUUAACGUGACUGUAGUGAACUGUUUCCAGAGGACGAGUGUGCUGAACCAUGUGUUGUGACCUUGAACAUCACUGUCACCCCAUUCUGAUGUCUUCCUGCCUUGGAGAAGAGAAGCUGGUAGCUCCAUUUCCCAGAAUCUUCUCUACAUGGUUCCAAGAGAGAUCUUCCAGGGAGAGGCUCUUAGGUGUUCUAAACGAGUCCGAAACAGUCGGAAACAAAUACUGACUUGCCCACGAUUCUCCCUUCUGUUCACGGCUGUCUCAAGUCUCCAUCUCCAGAACAAACCUCUCUGCUGAGUUCCAGACACCAGAGGACAUCCCCAGACUAAUGACUCAGGCUCCUUAGACUUUCUACACUCCAACAAUCUCGAUUCCCCAUUGUGCUUUUCUUUCUCAAAUCCGCAUCAACCAAGUUGACAAAACCAGACACUGGGAAGUUAUUCUAGAUUCCUUUCUCCCCGAUUCCUCACAUCGGCUCAACCACUAAAGCCUGAUGAUUCCAACUCUUCGGUAUCUUUCCUCUCCACUUCCAAGACGGCUGCCUUAGCACAGGCCAGCGUUUCCAAAUGUCUGGCAUGAUGAUUUUUGUGGUGCAGACACAAGAAAUCUGAAUUUCUGAAAUCAUGUUAGUCUAUAGUUUUCAUACCCCCUUAAGUAUUUUUAAAUAAUAAAGAUU